rnacentral:rRNA from 1 species
UACGUAGGGAGCAAGCGUUGUCCGGAAUCAUUGGGCGUAAAGCGCGCGUAGGUGGCUUCGUAAGUCCGUUGUGAAAGUCAAAGGCUCAACCUUUGAAAGCCGAUGGAUACUGCGGAGCUAGAGUACGGAAGAGGCGAGUGGAAUCCUGGUGUAGCGGUGGAAUGCGCAGAUAUCAAGGAGGAACACCAAUAGCGAAGGCAGCUCGCUGGGACGUUACUGACACUGAGGCGCGAAAGCGUGGGGAGCGAACAGG